rnacentral:rRNA from 1 species
UACGAAAGGGGGCUAGCGUUGCUCGGAAUCACUGGGCGUAAAGCGCACGUAGGCGGCUUUUUAAGUCAGAGGUGAAAUCCUGGAGCUCAACUCCAGAACUGCCUUCGAUACUGGGAGUCUCGAGUCCGAGAGAGGUGAGUGGAACUGCGAGUGUAGAGGUGAAAUUCGUAGAUAUUCGCAAGAACACCAGUGGCGAAGGCGGCUCACUGGCUCGGUACUGACGCUGAGGUGCGAAAGCGUGGGGAGCAAACAGGG